GGAUCACCCGUUGGCGUGGGUCCUGCUCGGAGCGCCCUCCUGCUUGUUUUGUUUUGUUUUGUUUUUCACUGAUAGGGGAUUUGGCCUCUUCGGGCCCUGUCGUUUUAGUGGCAGCGUGGAAACCCUUAACGGUGUGCUGGCUCUGGCUAAUACUGCUCUGAGCUACAUGAACUGUACAGUCAGAGGGCUGUGAGCAGCAAUCUUCUCUGGAGCAGUGGAAACAAGCUGGAGAAGGAGUAGGCAACCAAGAAGCACCUGAAGUAAGAAAUUCAGAAAAGGAAGAACAAACAUCUCAAAACUCAGUACUAGCAGUGAAUAUGGCAAAUAAUUCAGAAACAGAAUCUGUGAUUGAGGAUAAUGAAUCUCAUGAGAAGACCAGCGCUGACUUGGAUGGAACAAUCCAGUCUGAGAAGUUAUGUUCUGAUCAAGAACAUUUUCCUGGGAAAGGAGUUCAGCAGGAUUACCACAUGCCUGAUGUCAUAACUGUCAGAGUGAAAAUAGAUUCUGAUUCAUUCCAAGACUUAGCUGUCAAAAUUGAAAGACCUACCUAUCAGAAACCAUUUCUGGGUGGAUUUAAGAACAGGAUAACAGGAGCUGAAUUUCAUAAUGCAGGAUCGCAAACAAUACCCAAAAAGCUACCUGACAAGGGAAUUCAGAUAUUCUGUAGAGAAACACAGACAGUUUUUGAAAAAAAUAAGCCACAACAAACACAAAAUACAACAUCAACACAGAUGACUAAAAUUGGACUGUAUGUAUCAACUGUGACUGACAAACCACUAAGUCCUGGAAAGUAUUUUACAGCAGAAGAAUACCAUAAACGUCGACUUGAGGCAGUAAUAGUAUUACAGAAGAAUUUCCGCCGUUGGCAUUCUAUAAAUGUAGUACAGAAUCUGAAGGAAAGAAAGAGGUUAAGGCUGGAAUGGGAGGCACAAGAAGAAUUACGGAAAAAAAAGGAGAAAGAGGAAAAACUGAGAAGGGAGUACGAGCGAAAAAUGAACCCUAAAACGAAAGAAGAUUUUGAGCUACUCUUCCAUGAUUUAGAAUUAUGGAGGCAGGAGGAGAUUGAACGGAUUAAUAAAACCCUUACUGGAGCUGAAAGAAAGGCAGCACUUUGUGGAUUAUUUGAAGAAGAGGAACAGCUGAUUGCUCUCUUUGGGAGAGAGAAACUAAGUGCAGAUGAGGAGAAUCAACAAAAAGCAAUAUUUCGCUUUCUGAAUAAGUGUUCUCAACCAAAGAGGUGGAAAGCAUUUGAUGGAAAAAUCACUGAAAUGGAUACACAGUACACAAUCCAUGCCAGAGAGCUAUUUGAAAUCUACCGUAACAUUAGUAUGAAUGGCAUCCCAGAAGAUGAGAGAACAAAUGUACUGUUAACACUCAGAGGUGCAGUCAAGGAACAUGAAUGUAAAUUAACACAGGAAAUAGUGGAAUUAAUUGACAGGGAAGUUGAUCUUAUGUCACGGAAGGUGAAAGAUUGCAAUUUAGAUGGACUGAGGAAAAGAAUUUGUACAUUAUUUCUUCAGUAUUUUAAAACUCCAAAGUUUAACCCUGAAGUUGCUAAGAUACUUAAGGUUCCAUCAGAUCCUUUAAAACUUUAUAAAAAUGUUCACUUCUGUCAUAGCUGUGAAAAUUACUUACCGUCUACAGAGUUUCCUAUUCCUGCUAAUUCCCACACUAUUGGCAAAUGUUACUUGUGUUGCAAGCUUGAAAAUGAGGCUCACCAGCGAAAAGCAUUUUUGAAGUACAGACUUAUCCUAAAAAAACUCAGAAAGUCUGAAGCUGAUUACGAGGAUGAUUCUAAAGUUGUUUUCUUAGUUCAGCUUCAUGAUCUGCAGUAUCUGAUUGAGAACAUAUGGGGCUGUCAGUCAGCUCUCAGUGCCUACAAUGAUGAUUUGGUCAUGGUCAGAUGGGAUAAGCAGCAUGAGUGGUCCCCGUGGAACACUAUUCUCCUCACUGAAGAUGAGGCAGAGGCACACCUUAAGCUGCAUAACCUUCAGGAGGUAAAAUCUGAUGGGCUUAAUUUGUUACAAUAUUUAUAUUAUGUUUUAAUAGAAUCCUGUGACUAAUGAUGUUUGCCCAAAUUUAGUCUUUACGCUCAUCCAUGUUUAAAUUGGCCCACUGUGACUAUUUAAAUGAUUGCACUGGUACUAUUAAAUAAAACAGGCACUAGUCUAGAGGGCAGUUGGCAUAGUACAGCUCAUAUCCAUGUACCUAAAUACUGUCUUGCCCUUAUUCUCCCUCCUGAGAUGCAGAAGCUCAGUGGCCUCAUCCAUGCUGCCUACUGAGAAGAGUACCAUGCCUAUGCUUUUCCCUUGGCUGUGAUCAGAUAAGAGCUGGCCUGGAUGAAAAACAUGCUAAGGACUAACCAUAAAUACUGUGACAAUUGUGUAUCUGUGCUCUUGCACAUGCUCUGGCCUCAUUAGUUUGUGGCCUUAUAAUUUUCUCAUCAAGUAACAGAAUGGCUCUUUGUCUAGAACUUAACCAUUUGUCAUAGUAAAAUUUCUCUCCAUUUAUUUUCUUAUGUAGAGAUGUUUUAAGUACCCCUGACAAUGUAAUCUUGUACUUUGCAAUUAACCAGUUAAAAUAUAAUUGCUGUUCUGAGUUACAAAACUUAAGAAUUUGGUAAAGAAGUCAUUGAAACUGUGUAUUUUUACACCUCUCCCCCCAAAUUUUGUAUCUAACCAUUGUAGUCUCGGAAAUAGUUUUCUAAGGCAUGGGAGAAUUCUGUGAGUUGUGUUUGUCCUGUAGUUAGUAAUGUAUUACUAAGCCUUUCACCUCCAGGUUAUUAAUUUAUGGAAGCAGUGCUCUAAGAUCAUUGUUAUACAGUGUCCUUUUGUUCAGGGUGUUAUGAAUUCAAUUUCUAACACAAUAUCUGUGCAUCCCAUGCAACUUCAGCUGUUAUGCAUUGCCCUUCUUUUUGUAAGUCCUAUGAAUAUGUGAUAACUGAACUGAGAGAGCAAAUGAAUUACUCUUUUAAUGAAGGGUUUCCUUUGGGGACAAAAUAUAUCAGACAGGAAAUUCUAGAGGUAAAGGGAAUUCUGCCAUCCAUUAUAUUUGUGUGUGUGUGCCCAACUUGCAUCUUCAAGCAGACAGGUGUUUAUGUGAGCAUUAGCUUUAAAUGGUAAAAUCAGUUUCAAGUUGGAAAUUCCUUUAUCAACUCCUCUGUCUCACACAGUCUGAAUCCAGUGAUGCUUCUCUCCAUCCAUGUAUUUUUGUUAGUAGCAUUACAGUAGGCAAAUAUUCUGAUUAUGCACUUGCCUGGUUUCACUUCUUAAUUCUGGAUGCCAUAGUCAGAUGCCGUUGAUUUGAUUAGGUCCAGAGCUUCACUGGAGAUAGGAAUUAGGCCAGAAGAGGAAGAUGUAAAGUAUGCAAGCCUACCUAAAAUUUGUAAGGCUUAUGAAGCAGCAUUUAUUCACAGAAUAAAAUAUAAGCAUAUCUGGG